rnacentral:lncRNA from 1 species
AGCAGCAACAAAAACAGGCCUGUUUAGCUGUUGUGGCCUCAUUAUUUGUCAGCUCAUCUACAAGAAGAUGUAACUGUGCAAUUGACUGGGCUUAUACAUUAGCUCCAAGCCAGAAUUCAUACUGAACAAUCCUUCAUGUGGAAGAGACAUAUGUGUAAUCAGGUAGUCUCUGCCCAGUGGGCUCUGUGUGGGAACCUGGUUGCCUCAGUUUGAGUGGUGAAUCCUUCAACAGCUGGCUAGAGUUUUGUGUGAUGAUUUGGCUAUACAAAAUCUAUGCAACUCUACAGAUUCAGACCAGAGAUACCUCUGGUGUUAUGUCAUACAGGUGAGUCAGACAAGAAUAUA